rnacentral:rRNA from 1 species
GUGGGGAAUAUUGGGCAAUGGGCGAAAGCCUGACCCAGCAACGCCGCGUGAAGGAAGAAGGUCUUCGGAUCGUAAACUUCUAUCCUUGGUGAAGAUAAUGACGGUAGCCGAGAAGGAAGCCCCGGCUAACUACGUGCCAGCAGCCGCGGUAAUACGUAGGGGGCAAGCGUUGUCCGGAAUGAUUGGGCGUAAAGGGCGCGUAGGCGGCCUGGUAAGUCUGGAGUGAAAGUCCUGCUUUUAAGGUGGGAAUUGCUUUGGAUACUGUCGGGCUUGAGUGCAGGAGAGGUAAGUGGAAUUCCCGGUGUAGCGGUGAAAUGCGUAGAGAUCGGGAGGAACACCAGUGGCGAAGGCGGCUUACUGGACUGUAACUGACGCUGAGGCGCGAAAGUGUGGGGAGCAAACAGGAUUAGAUACCCUGGUAGUCC